AUGUAAUCCAGUAUAUGGGGAUGUAUUCCAUACAUUCAACGGCGGGAACACAGGAAAAAUAAAAGGGGGGAUAAAAUCCCCCCUUUUUGCUUAACU
rfam:Enterobacter aerogenes KCTC 2190, complete genome.